UCGAGAAUCUUCGGCAAUGGGCGCAAGCCUGACCGAGCGACGCCGCGUGGAGGAUGAAGGCCUUCGGGUUGUAAACUCCUGUCGAGGGGGAGGAAGGCCGGGCGACCGGCUUGACCGAUCCCUGGAGGAAGCACGGGCUAAGUUCGUGCCAGCAGCCGCGGUAAGACGAACCGUGCGAACGUUAUUCGGAAUCACUGGGCUUAAAGCGCGUGUAGGCGGGUGGGGACGUCGGCAUCUGAAAGCCCCCGGCUCAACCGGGGAAGGGGAUCCGAAACGCCCCGCCUGGAGGGACGUAGGGGGACCUGGAACUUCCGGUGGAGCGGUGAAAUGCGUUGAGAUCGGAAGGAACGCCCGUGGCGAAAGCGAGGUCCUGGACGUCUGCUGACGCUGAGACGCGAAAGCUAGGGGAGCGAACGG
rnacentral:rRNA from 1 species